CAGCCGCCGCGGGAAUACGUAGGUGGCAAGCGUUGUCCGGAAUUAUUGGGCGUAAAGGGCUCGCAGGCGGUUUCUUAAGUCUGAUGUGAAAGCCCCCGGCUCAACCGGGGAGGGUCAUUGGAAAUUGGGAAACUUGAGUGCAGAAGAGGAGAGUGGAAUUCCACGUGUAGCGGUGAAAUGCGUAGAGAUGUGGAGGAACACCAGUGGCGAAGGCGACUCUCUGGUCUGUAACUGACGCUGAGGCGCGAAAGCGUGGGGAGCGAACAGGAUUAGAUACCCCUGUAGUCCCUGUCUCUUAUAC
rnacentral:rRNA from 1 species